AUUGAACGCUGGCGGCAUGCUUUACACAUGCAAGUCGAACGGCAGCGCGGGCUUCGGCCUGGCGGCGAGUGGCGAACGGGUGAGUAAUGCAUCGGAACGUGCCCAGUAGUGGGGGAUAGCCCGGCGAAAGCCGGAUUAAUACCGCAUACGACCUGAGGGUGAAAGCGGGGGACCGAAAGGCCUCGCGCUAUUGGAGCGGCCGAUGUCGGAUUAGCUAGUUGGUGGGGUAAAGGCUUACCAAGGCGACGAUCCGUAGCUGGUCUGAGAGGACGACCAGCCACACUGGGACUGAGACACGGCCCAGACUCCUACGGGAGGCAGCAGUGGGGAAUUUUGGACAAUGGGGGCAACCCUGAUCCAGCCAUGCCGCGUGCGGGAAGAAGGCCUUCGGGUUGUAAACCGCUUUUGUUCGGGAAGAAAUCCUCUGGGCUAAUACCCCGGGGGGAUGACGGUACCGGAAGAAUAAGCACCGGAUAACUACGUG
rnacentral:rRNA from 1 species